rnacentral:rRNA from 1 species
CAGUUCGGAUUGUAGUCCGCAACCCGACUACAUGAAGCUGGAAUCGCUAGUAAUCGCGGAUCAGAAUGCCGCGGUGAAUACGUUCCCGGGUCUUGUACACACCGCCCGUCACACCAUGGGAGUCGGAAAUGCCCGAAGUCUGUGACCCAACCUUAGGGAGGGAGCAGCCGAAGGCAGGUCGGAUGACUGGGGUGAAGUCGUAACAAGGUACC